GGAGAGGUGUCGGAGCGGUCAUAACGAGGCGGUCUUGAAAACCGUUAGUCCUACGGGGCACAUGGGUUCGAAUCCCAUCCUCUCCGCGA
rnacentral:tRNA from 1 species